rnacentral:miRNA from 1 species
GUUCAGAUUCCCUGCUCUUAGUAUAUUAUAGUCUCUCUCUCUCUCUCUCUCUCUCUCUCUAUAUAUAUAUAUAUAUAUAUAUAUAUAUAUAGAGAGAGAGAGAGAGAGAGAGAGAGAGAGAGUGUGUGUGUGUGUGUGUGUGUGUAU